GAUCGUUUGAUUCUGAUUUGUAGUACAAAUACAAUUAGUGGAACCAUAUCCUAACUACCUUUAGACCUUUGAAAUUUGAAGCUAGAGGUGUCAAAAAAUUUACCACAGGGAUAACUGGCUUGUGGUAGCCAAACGUUCACAGCGAUGUUGCUUUUUGAUCCUUCGAUGUAGGCUCUUCCUAGCAUUGGGAAGCAAAAUUCACCAAGUUUUGGAUUGUUCACCCACCAAUAGGGAAUGUGAGCUGGAUUCAGACCAUUAUCAGACAGGUUAAUUUUACCCUACUGAUGACAGUGUUGGAAUAGUCACUCAUCCUAGUAUGAGAGGAAUCAUUGAUUCGCACAUUUGGUUAUCAUGCUUGGUUAAAAAGCCAGUGUAACGAAGCUAUCAUGUGAUGGAUUAUGAAAGAAUCCCUCUAAGUUAGAAUCUGGGCUAGAAGCAAUGCAUGUGCCCUCCAUUAACUUGCCGACCCACAGUAGGUGCCUCGUCCCCCAAAGGCACGUGUCGUUGGGUAAGCCAUUGUGGCGAAAGGGUUGCGGUGGCUACCUUUAAGUACAAUUUUCAUCGAGCAGUGGGUAGAAUCCUUUGAAGAGUACUUAAAUAUGCAAUAGGGUAUUGUAAGUGGUAGAGUGGCCUUGCUGCCACGAUCCACUGA
rnacentral:rRNA from 1 species